rnacentral:rRNA from 1 species
AUUGAACGCUGGCGGCAGGCCUAACACAUGCAAGUCGAACGGUAACAGGAAGAAGCUUGCUUCUUUGCUGACGAGUGGCGGACGGGUGAGUAAUGUCUGGGAAACUGCCUGAUGGAGGGGGAUAACUACUGGAAACGGUAGCUAAUACCGCAUAACGUCGCAAGACCAAAGAGGGGGACCUUCGGGCCUCUUGCCAUCGGAUGUGACCAGAUGGGAUUAGCUAGUAGGUGGGGUAACGGCUAACCUAGGCGACGAUCCCUAGCUGGUCUGAGAGGAUGACCAGCCACACUGGAACUGAGACACGGUCCAGACUCCUACGGGAGGCAGCAGUGGGGAAUAUUGCACAAUGGGCGCAAGCCUGAUGCAGCCAUGCCGCGUGUAUGAAGAAGGCCUUCGGGUUGUAAAGUACUUUCAGCGGGGAGGAAGGGAGUAAAGUUAAUACCUUUGCUCAUUGACGUUACCCGCAGAAGAAGCACCGGCUAACUCCGUG